GACGAACGCUGGCGGCGUGCUUAACACAUGCAAGUCGAACGGAAAGGCCCUGCUUGCAGGGUACUCGAGUGGCGAACGGGUGAGUAACACGUGGGUGAUCUGCCCUGCACUUCGGGAUAGGCCUGGGAAACUGGGUCUAAUACCGGAUAGGAGCCAUUUUUAGCGUGAUGGUUGGAAAGUUUUUUCGGUGUAGGAUGAGCUCGCGGCCUAUCAGCUUGUUGGUGGGGUAAUGGCCUACCAAGGCGGCGACGGGUAGCCGGCCUGAGAGGGUGGACGGCCACAUUGGAACUGAGAGACGGCCCAGUCUCCUACGGGAGGCAGCAGUGGGGAAUAUUGCACAAUGGGCGCAAGCCUGAUGCAGCGACGCCGCGUGGGGGAUGACGGCCUUCGGGUUGUAAACUCCUUUCGCUAGAGACGAAGCUUUUGUGACGGUACCUAGAUAAGAAGCACCGGCUAACUACGUG
rnacentral:rRNA from 1 species